GACCUGGGCGGAGAGCGCUACAGCUAUGGCGGCCGUUAGGUGGUAUAAACAGUAUCCAGUUCUUCCUUCUGCUGUUUUCAGGUUAGCAUAUAUGCCCUGAAUGGAUGGAUAUAGAGUUAAAACUGAUGGGAAAGCUGACAACCAUGCCAGCAGCUCUAAUAUGUGCAUCUAUAAGUGUGCAUGCGGCCAAAGAAGAGGAGUCCAGAAAGCAUCUAGUGAAACCAGAGCAGCUCCCCAUAUAUACUGCACCACCUCUCCAGUCUAAAUAUGUUGAUGAGCAGCCUGGUCAUUUACAAAUGGGCUUUGCGUCCAUUCGCACUACAACUGGUCGUUAUAUUGGCUGGUGCAAGGGUGUUUAUGUCUUCAUGAAAUAUGGGAUAAUGGAUACAGUACAAUUUGGAAAAGAUGCAUAUGUCUAUUUGAAGAAUCCACCUCGAGAUUUUCUUCCGAAAAUUGGAGUGAUUACAGUUUCAGGAUUGGCAGGCUUCAUUUCAGCGAGAAAAGGUUCUAGGUUUAAGAGAAUUGCUUAUCCACUGGGACUGGCCACUUUAGGAGCAACUGUUUGCUACCCUGUUCAAUCAGUAAUAAUUGCAAAGGUAACUGGGAAAAAGGCAUAUGCUACAAGCCAGCAGAUUUAUGAAGCAGUUAAAUCAUUGUGGACAAAAAACAACAAAAAAGAGUCACUUCCUGAACCUAAAGAAAAAACUAAGGUAGAGUUUAAAUGGACCAAAAAGCUAGGAAGCUCUGAUGAAAUAGAAAUACCUGCAAAAACAACUCACAACCUGAAACAUUCAGUGCCUUUGUCAACAGAACUCAGCUCUGAAACAAAGACCAAAUCAGAAUCCACCUCAGUUUCAUCAUAAAACUGGAAAUUAAUUUCCUCUAUGGAAAAAAGGUGUGUCUUCCAAAUGUAAAAAAGAAAUCGUUUCAAAAUGAAUCAGAGUUUGAAAAACAUUUAAAAUAAAAACAAGUUUGUGAAAAACAUAUUUUUAGUCUUAUGUCACAAAGUGCUACACAGUUUAUGGCUGACCCCAAGCUCAUGGAUCACGGGCAGUCCCAUCCAGAAGAUGUAGAUAUGUACAGCACUAGAAGCUGAAAUAGUCUGCAUAGAGAACUACAAGAUGUGUGAAGUUGCGAAUAACAGUGAAAAAAAUCAUGUAAUGGGUAACUGUGAUGCAUGGAGUAUAAUUUAAACCAAGUUUUUCCCUUACAUCUUCUAAUGUACAGUUAGACAAAUCACAUAAGUGAUUAAAACUCAAAUUGAAUACAAUCCGAACAAUACUAAAUGAUCGAUGAGGAGGCAGAGGUAAAAGUAUUAGGAUGCAUUUGGUGAUUUUUAAGGGUAUUUAUAAAAAAAUAAAAGUAAAUAUAUGAACACUGAUGAGACUAAAAUCUGAAAAAAAUAUGUAUGUGUGUAUAUAAUUAUGUAUAUAUAUGCACAUAUAUAUUUGUUUAACUUUUAUGAAUUAAUGUCAGCCAAAUUAGAAUUGUGUGUGGAAGGAUGUGUUCCCUCCCCCUCUGUUUUUCAUUUCCCAGAGCUGGAAUAAAAUAUCCAUAUUUUAUGACA